rnacentral:rRNA from 1 species
GAUAAACGCUGGCGGCGUGCAUGAGACAUGCAAGUCGAACGAACGAGCUUGCUCGUUAGUGGCGGACGGCUGAGUAACGCGUAGGUGACCUACCCCGAAGUGGGGGAUAACUGCCCGAAAGGGUGGCUAAUACCGCAUGUGGCGACGCUUUCAUUGGCGUCAUCAAAGCCGCGAGGCGCUUCGGGAGGGGCCUGCGUCCGAUUAGCUCGUUGGUGGGGUAAUGGCUCACCAAGGCGACGAUCGGUAGGUGGUCUGAGAGGACGAUCACCCAGACUGGGACUGAGACACGGCCCAGACUCCUACGGGAGGCAGCAGUGGGGAAUCUUAGACAAUGGGCGCAAGCCUGAUCUAGCCAUGCCGCGUGAGCGAUGAAGGCCUUAGGGUUGUAAAGCUCUUUCGUGGGGGAAGAUAAUGACGGUACCCCAAGAAGAAGCCCCGGCUAACUCCGUGCCAGCCGCCGCUGUAAUAC